rnacentral:lncRNA from 1 species
GAGAUGAGAGUGCUAAGGGUUAAAUGAAAAUAAAACAAAAUAUGUAUUAGAUGCCGUACGUAUGUAUGUAUGUAUGUAUGUAUGUAUGAGAUGCGAUGAAUGUAUUUGCGUAUAUAGAUAUUUGGAGGAAUACGAUAUUUACAUGAUUAUGUAUCUGUGAAUAAAAUCGAGUCUUUGGCCUAAGGUCACUUACCGGUGGGGCCAACGCACCCGCUGUCUAUGACAGGGAGGCCCCACGCGAUAAUUAAAAAAAUAAAAAUAAUGUUAAUGUUUUUAUUAAAUAAGUAAACAGAUAUAUUAGUUAAAUUAAUUAAUUAGAAGAAUGAGAGAAUGACACAUGGGUCCCCCACUAAAUUAAUGUGAUUAAUUAAUAUUUAAUCUUAAUUAAAACUUGUGCCUAUGACGUUCGGGACCCGCUGGUCAAUUGACCAGUCAACUGUUGAUGUCAGCAUGACAUCAUGCUGACGUCAUAAUAGAUUUUUAUUAAAUUAUUCAAAUCUGUUUUUAAUUCCUAAUUAUUGAAUAAAACUUUAAAAAUUAAUAUUAAAUAAUUCGUAAGUCAGACCAAAAUAUUGUCAACAUGAAAGUUGAUCAGCAGAACGAGACGAACCCGGAUACACGGCCCGUUCGUGUGUGACGCGUCCCUAGCAUAGCAAACAUGGAACCUUUCCAUCGUUUCCAGUAUAACCGGUAGUAGCCCGAGACCCGGAAAAUAUCGUCAGAUAUUCUUCCGACCUGUCUAUGAUGGAUGUUGUUGCGUUAGCUCAUGUCUAGCCUGCAUCUUGCCAUGUCAUGCUUUGUGUUGCAUCGGUGCUAUUAUUUAUUGUUUCUUCCCCCUCUUCUUACAGGUAGACCCCGAGACUGACGUUGCUGCCGGGUACAUCUACGACCCUGCCGAUCAGUCCUUUGCCGCAGAGCAGCAAGGCAAGCAAACCCCCCCUUGAUCAUUCCUAUAUCGCCUAUGUCUUUCUUCCUACUGCUUGCAUUAGUAUUUUUGCUACUGUUGUAGUUAGCUCCUAUAUCUGAUGCAUAGCCUAUUUUUGAUGAACUGCUACUUUCAGUCAUGUACCUUUAAUAGGCCUAGUAUAGGUGGAGCAGUCAUCCCCUCUGACCCCGUAGUUCAGUUGCCCCGCUUGUUUUCAAAUCUCGAUCUCUGAUCGACGAGCCAGACCCGACACAUCACAUACCCCCCCCUNNNNNNNNNNNNNNNNNNNNNNNNNNNNNNNNNNNNNNNNNNNNNNNNNNNNNNNNNNNNNNNNNNNNNNNNNNNNNNNNNNNNNNNNNNNNNNNNNNNNNNNNNNNNNNNNNNNNNNNNNNNNNNNNNNNNNNNNNNNNNNNNNNNNNNNNNNNNNNNNNNNNNNNNNNNNNNNNNNNNNNNNNNNNNNNNNNNNNNNNNNNNNNNNNNNNUGAAGGGAUGCUAGGACUGACGUCGGCCGCCCACGCCACGUGCAGGAGCGCGAAGGGGAACUGGGCCCACGAACCCUUUGUGCUUAGGAGUUAGACCGGCGGGCUGGCCUCUCUGAUUAGUCUUAGGUGGGGCUGCGACGUGUCGAUAUUCCGAGGCCGGGCAGGACCCAAAAAAGUAUGUCCGGCGAGAGUGUUAUCGAGCGUGAUGGGACAUGUGGUGCACCCGUGUNNNNNNNNNNNNNNNNNNNNNNNNNNNNNNNNNNNNNNNNNNNNNNNNNNNNNNNNNNNNNNNNUAGGGAUGAAAAUUAACUAUUCGGAUUGCCGUGUCCACGGUUACAGGACGACUUGGAGUUGUGCCCCGAUCUUAUACAACUACAAUUGUUACUUAACUGGAAUUAGUUUGCCUCGGGAUUGCUUCCUCGCAGGGAGUCGAGGGAGGAUCUUUAGGCGUGACCUCAGUUUAUUAUUGUUGUAACAAUAUGACUAUUAAUGUUUUACCCCCCUCUUCUACUCUCGUCUAUUGCUGCAAGACCCUGAAGAUGCUAGUCUUUGAUAGGACUAGGCUUUCUCUCUGUAUUCUCGCGUUGCUGCAGUCAGUCCACAUAUAACACCCCCCUUCUUUGAUACUGGUGCAUAUUUAGCAUAGUUCUGAUGUAAGUCUUGCGAGUACUUUGGAUGAGUACUCACCGCUGCCUUGCUCCCCCCUUUGUCCCCUUGAUCCGUUGCUGCGACCAGAUGAUGGAGCCCAGGAGUGGAGUUUCCUGCCGACGCCUGCUGCCCCGAUGGUGUCAUCUUCGAGGAGGCCGCUGAAGCCCAGGAGUUGUUAGGAGGUUCCCAGGCAGGAGGCCUCGCCUCGUUCGAUCAUGUUUUCUUUUGUGCUCGCCUUCUCUAAGGCACCCCAUGUUUUAUGUCUGUACUCAGAUAUUGUUGCUUCCGCUGACUCGUGUGUUUUUCGAGCUUUUGUAUUCUAGCCCUCGAGGCCCCUGGCUUGUAAUAUGAAGAUUAUGUUAUUUUAUUUGUGUCUAGAGUUGUGUUAUGAUAUCUUCCCGUGAGUCCUUGGGUUUGAUCGUACGCAUUUGCGUGUAUGAUUAGCGUACGACUAAACCGAGGGCGUCACACAACAGUAGCAGCAGAGCAAGACAAGUAAUAGCAGUAGCAACAGUAGUAGCAGCAGCAGCAGAGCAAGACAAGUAAUAGCAGUAGUAACAGUAGUAGCAGCAGCAGAGCAAAACAAGUAACAGCAGUAGCAACAGUAGGACAAACUCGUAGGCAAUGGGUCGGUGAUUUUUUUGGAUGAUAUUCAUCAUGCAACAGCUAUGACACGGAGAGAUAUGUGGCUAGCUACCGUUCGUCAAUGUGAUGUAGGCAUGCAUUCUGUGUGUCGUCAUACGUGCUUAGGGAAAAGAACUUGCAUGACAUCUAUUGUCCAUCCCUCCCAUGGCAGCGGGGUCCAAAAGGAAACUACGGGAUAUUAAGGUUCUCCUUUUAAUAAAGAACCGAACCAACGCAUUGGCACUUGGAGUACACAUGAACUCCUCAAACUAUGGUCAUCACCGGGAGUGGUUCCGGUUGUUGUCACUCCGGGGUUGUCGGAUCAUAACACAUAGUAGGUAACUACAACUUGCAAGAUCGGAUCUAAAACACACAUAUAUUGGUGACAACAUAAUAAUUUCAGAUCUGGAAUCAUGGCACUCGGGCCCUAGUGACAAGCAUUAAGCAUGGCAAAGUAGUAGCAACAUCAAUCUCAGAACAUAGUGGAUACUAGGAAUCAAUCCCCAUCAAAACUAACUCGAUUACAUGAUAGAUCUCAUCCUACUCAUCACCGCCCAGCGAGCCUACGAAUAGAUUACUCACGAAUGACGAAGAGCUUCAUGGAAUUGGAGAGGGAAGAAGGUUGAUGAUGACGAUGGCGACAAUUUCCCCUCUCCGGAGCCCAAGACGGACUCCAGAUCUGCCCUCCAGAUGAAGAACAGGUGGUGGCGGCGCCUCCGUAUCAUAAACGCGACGAAAACUUCUCUUUUUAUUUUUUCUGGGACGAAAGGGGACAUAUAGACCUAAGGUUGGGGGCGGCAGAGCCGUGUGGGCCCCACAAGCCUGCCCACCACCACCAGGGUGUGGUGGCGGAGCCAGGGCUUGUGGCCCACUAGCCCACCCCCUCAGGUGGAACUUGGCACAUAUAUUUUUUAUAUUUUCCAAAACUGCUCCCCGUAAAUCUUCAGGACGUUUGGAGAACUUUGAUUUCUGCACAAAAAAUAACACCAAGGCAAUUCUGCUGAAAACAGCGUGAGUCCAGGUUAGUUCCAUUCAAAUCAUGCAAAUUAGAGUCCAAAACAAGGGCAAAAGAGUUUGGAAAAGUAGAUACGAUGGAGACGUAUGAGUUUCUUCUUCAUAUUAUUUGAAAUCUUGCAUUUUAAUGUCCCUUUCAUUAAUAACUAAAAAGUUUGACUUGUCGAAACCAAAUGUACAGUCUAUGUGCGAGAAGACCGGCCACGUCCCUCCGGCGAUGCCAGUCAUUAACAUGGCAGGGACGGUGAGUUUCAUUUCAAUGCAGUGAUCUCAAGAGUGUCAUUAUGCUAACAACACAUUGCAAACGAUGUUUGGUGCAGAAUAUCUCCCGAAACGCAUCGCACGAUCCUCCUAUAGUGGAGCCUUCUCCAGGGAAGCCUUCUCCAGGUGAAACAAGCCAGAGCCACCGUGCUUCAUCGCCGUGAUGACGAUAAUGGUAUGUUAUUUCUAGUGUUUUUCUUAACAACCGCAUAAUGGUCCAAUAUGUUUUAUUAAGCAUACUUAGCUCCAAAAUGACAUAUUUAACCAAAGUUAGCUCCAAAACGACACGACACGGAGAGAUAUGUGGCUAGCUACCGUUCGUCAAUGUGAUGUAGGCAUGCAUUCUGUGUGUCGUCAUACGUGCUUAGGGAAAAGAACUUGCAUGACAUCUAUUGUCCAUCCCUCCCAUGGCAGCGGGGUCCAAAAGGAAACUACGGGAUAUUAAGGUUCUCCUUUUAAUAAAGAACCGAACCAACGCAUUGGCACUUGGAGUACACAUGAACUCCUCAAACUAUGGUCAUCACCGGGAGUGGUUCCGGUUGUUGUCACUCCGGGGUUGUCGGAUCAUAACACAUAGUAGGUAACUACCACUUGCAAGAUCGGAUCUAAAACACACAUAUAUUGGUGACAACAUAAUAAUUUCAGAUCUGAAAUCAUGGCACUCGGGCCCUAGUGACAAGCAUUAAGCAUGGCAAAGUAGUAGCAACAUCAAUCUCAGAACAUAGUGGAUACUAGGAAUCAAUCCCCAUCAAAACUAACUCGAUUACAUGAUAGAUCUCAUCCUACUCAUCACCGCCCAGCGAGCCUACGAAUAGAUUACUCACGAAUGACGAAGAGCUUCAUGGAAUUGGAGAGGGAAGAAGGUUGAUGAUGACGAUGGCGACAAUUUCCCCUCUCCGGAGCCCAAGACGGACUCCAGAUCUGCCCUCCAGAUGAAGAACAGGUGGUGGCGGCGCCUCCGUAUCAUAAACGCGACGAAAACUUCUCUUUUUAUUUUUUCUGGGACGAAAGGGGACAUAUAGACCUAAGGUUGGGGGCGGCAGAGCCGUGUGGGCCCCACAAGCCUGCCCACCACCACCAGGGUGUGGUGGCGGAGCCAGGGCUUGUGGCCCACUAGCCCACCCCCUCAGGUGGAACUUGGCACAUAUAUUUUUUAUAUUUUCCAAAACUGCUCCCCGUAAAUCUUCAGGACGUUUGGAGAACUUUGAUUUCUGCACAAAAAAUAACACCAAGGCAAUUCUGCUGAAAACAGCGUGAGUCCAGGUUAGUUCCAUUCAAAUCAUGCAAAUUAGAGUCCAAAACAAGGGCAAAAGAGUUUGGAAAAGUAGAUACGAUGGAGACGUAUGAGUUUCUUCUUCAUAUUAUUUGAAAUCUUGCAUUUUAAUGUCCCUUUCAUUAAUAACUAAAAAGUUUGACUUGUCGAAACCAAAUGUACAGUCUAUGUGCGAGAAGACCGGCCACGUCCCUCCGGCGAUGCUAGUCAUUAACAUGGCAGGGACGGUGAGUUUCAUUUCAAUGCAGUGAUCUCAAGAGUGUCAUUAUGCUAACAACACAUUGCAAACGAUGUUUGGUGCAGAAUAUCUCCCGAAACGCAUCGCACGAUCCUCCUAUAGUGGAGCCUUCUCCAGGGAAGCCUUCUCCAGGUGAAACAAGCCAGAGCCACCGUGCUUCAUCGCCGUGAUGACGAUAAUGGUAUGUUAUUUCUAGUGUUUUUCUUAACAACCGCAUAAUGGUCCAAUAUGUUUUAUUAAGCAUACUUAGCUCCAAAAUGACAUAUUUAACCAAAGUUAGCUCCAAAACGACACAUAGUUAGCUUGGCUUCCACCUAAAUGAGAUAAUUAGCUUAGUUAGCUCCAAAAUUACCAAUUUAAUAAAAAAUGACCUAUACUUACCUAAGUUCUCUUCUAAAUGACAUAAUAAGGCUAUGUAGCUCCAAAAUGACAUCCACCUAACUUAGCUAUUAAAUAGCCUAUAAUUAGCUUAGCUAGCUCCAAAAUGCCUUAAUAAUCAUAGUUGGCUCCAAAAUGACAUGUUUUACCCAAGUUAGCUCUAGAAUGGCCUAUACUUAGCUUGGCUUCCACCUAAAUGACAUAAUUAGCUUAGUUAGCUCCAAAAUGGUCUAUUUAAUAAAAAAUGACCUAUACUUAGCUAAUUAGCCUCCAAAAUGACAUAAUUAGCUCCAGAAAGGCAUAAUUAGCUAAUUUAGCUCGAAGAAGAGGACAAGAGGAGAAGAAAGAGGAAAAAUGAAAAGAAGUAAGAAGAAGAAGAAGAAGAGAAGAAGAAGAGAAGAAGAAGGAGAAGGAGAAGGAGAAGAAGAAGGAGAAGGAGCCCUCCUUCUUCUUCUCUCCUCCUCCUUCUUCUUUUCUACGUUUUCUCCUCUUCCUUCUCCUUCUCCUCCUCCUCCUGCUCCUUCUUCUUCUUUUUCUUCUCCUUCUUCUUCUCUUCUUGCUUCUUCUCUUUCUUCUUCUACGUAGCUUAUUUUCCCCAACAAAGACACACUUAGCUAAUUAUCCUCCAAAAUGACAUAAUUAGCUUAGUUAGGGAAAACAUCGUAAGAACCUUGGUGAGCUCAUUAAAACGAGUAAUUUAGAUCCAAAAUGACAUAAUAUGCUCAAAAUGGCAUAAGAACCUUGGUUAGCUCUUGAAUAUUAUAUACUUAGCUUGUUUUCCUCUAAAAUGACAUAACUAGCCCAUUCAGCUCCAAAAAGACAUACUUAGCUAAUAACCAGCUAUUAAAUAGCCUAUAAUUAGCUUAGCUAGCUCCAAAAUGCCUUAAUAAUCAUAGUUAGCUCCAAAAUGACAUAUUUUACCCAAGUUAGCUCUAGAAUGGCCUAUACUUAGCUUGGCUUCCACCUAAAUGACAUAAUUAGCUUAGUUAGCUCCAAAACGGUCUAUUUAAUAAAAAAUUACCUAUAGUUAGCUAAUUAUCCUCCAAAAUGACAUAAUUAGCUCCAAAAAGGCAUAAUUAGCUAAUUUAGCUCGAAGAAGAGGACAAGAGGUGAAGAAAGAGGAAAAGUGAAAAGAAGUAAGAAGAAGAAGAAGAAAAAGAGAAGGAGAAGAAGGAGGCUCCUCCUUCUUCUCCUUCUUCUUCUCCUUCUUCUUCUCUUCUUCUUGUCCUCUUCCUUCUCCUUCUCCUUCUCCUCCUCCUCCUCCUACUUCUUCUUCUUUUUCUUCUCCUUCUGCUUCUCUUCUUGCUUCUUCUCUUUCUUCUAAAAAAUGACCUAUUUAGCUCCAAAAUGGCCUAUUUAAUAAAAAAUGACCUAUACUUACCUAAGUUCUCUUCUAAAUGACAUAAUAAGGCUAAGUCACUACUGGAAAAAUAUAAUUUGCCGUCAGCUUUUAGCUUUGCCGUCAGCAAUUUCACGGGGCUGAUGGCCUAGAGACUUUGCCCUCAGCCUCACAAAAUACAGACGACAUAGACGUGGCUGACGACAUAGAGAAUCUAUGCCGUCUGCUUUAUCUAAACCGUCAGCAAAGACUGACGGCAUAGGGUGGCUAACGGCAUAGGGAGCUAACCCGGUCCCACGUUCGACCAUUGCUUAACGGGAGCCGUCUUUGCUGACAGCCGGCUGAGGGCAAAGACUAACGAAUGUCUUUGCCGACAGCUGGCUCAGGGCAAAGACUAACGGUUGUCUUUGCCGACAGCCGGCUGAGGGCAAAGCCACGUGCCUUAUCCAGCCACACCUGAUCGAGAGCAGCUCCCCGUGCCCACCUUUCUCUCGCGACCUAACAUCUCGUAGAGCUGCUAGGGUUCCCCACCGCCGCCGGACUCCUCGAUCGCCGCCGCGGGCCUCCUCGGUCGCCGCCGCCGGCCUCCUUGGUCGCUGCCACUGCCCUACCGGUGGUCGCCGCCCUCACCUAUCGUCGUCGCCAUCGGUCUCCGCUCUGUUCCCGCCCCAUCGUGAGCGAGGAGACCGACCGGUUCGCGCCUCCCCGACGGUCGCCAUCCGCCGCCGCCCCUUCAAGUUCAUUCAGGCGGCAAGCCGGCAACUGGUAGGGCAUCCACUUCCCUGCUAGACGAGGGGACAACCUUGGCCUGGUUGAAUCUUCCCUCCUCGUGGCAGAUCCAUGUAGGACGGUGACCCUGGUGCUCUUCUUGCUCGAGGCACACAUCUCCUACGGCUUCUUCUGUCCUGCAGCUUGCAUCUGCUUCGGUCCUUCCAUGCCAAUCCGGCAGCUCUUCUCCUUCCGUCUUGCAGCUCCAUUACUCCGGUCUGGUAACUCAUUCUGACCAAGGUAUAAGCUUUUCUAUGCUUCACAUCUAUACAGAUCGAUACAUAGUUUGCUAUUACGUAGCCCACUUGGUAAGAGUCAAAGGUAGUCAAAGGUUCCCAUGGCCAUAGCAAAGCAAUGAAGCACACAAAGCUUUUCUCUGCUUCUAGUAUAUAUAGAUCGAUGCAUAGCUUUUAUUACAUAGCCCACUUGCUAGUACAUGCCAAUACAUACACUACAUGUUCUCAUUGCUAGACCAAGAACUGAACCACACUGCACACGAAUGUACUGAGUAUAGUCUGCAUUUAAUUUGUGCUGUUAAACUUUAUUUAUAAAUUCAGUUUAUAGUGAUACACUUGCAUAGUAGAGUCUCUGCAUUUUUUAUACUGUUCAAUGUUGUUUAUAAAUACAGCUUGAACUGAUAAACUUGCACAUCAAUUUGUUUACUACUAAAUUUUGUUCUAUAGAUUCAGUUUUUACUGAUAAAACUGCACUCAACGCAGUAUAGAUUCAGAUAGAUGUUUCCAAAAUAAUGAAUCAGCUACAUGACAGGAUAAAAUAGAAUUCACAUGCACAUCAACACAUAGUGCUUCCCCUUCUUUUCACCAUGUAACCUCCUUCCUGCUGCACCGGCCAGAAACAUGAUUCAAACAAAAGAAACCUCAGCUAAAGAAAGCAAUAAACAGGAAGGGGAGUAGGUAUCACUUCUUAGGAAUGUUUUCGUCUCCAACUUCAACAUCCAUCUGAUCAAACCACGAGUACAAAACAUACUUUAGCUACCAUUCUUGUAUAAGAAAACAAAUGCAACACAAGCAGGUCAGGAGCAUCUGCACCUGCUCGCAGUUAAUAUGUCACCAUGUUUGGGAGCAUCAGGCUCACUUUAACAUAGGAUCAGAAGAACAAGUAGGAAGAGUGGAGGAGAGGGACACGACAGGGAGAGUGACCUGGAGGAUGAACAGGGUCGCAAGACACAAUGUGAGAACCAUCGCUUCAAUCCUUAUGGGAAAUCGAAUGGUGAAAAGUAUUGGAAAUUGAAUGUAGCAGUGAUCACUGCAUUUAUUGGCCAGCCAAACCUGGUUAUCCAGUAUUAUAAGAAACAUCAAUAUGAAACAUGGGACAUUGCAUUUAUAUCUGUUCAUAGAUAAUUAAUAUGAAAACAAAACACUAACUACCAUUGAUUAUAGUCCGUCACCUGACCACCGUCCUAGUCGAGGUGUCUUGCAUAGCCUGUUACACAUCAUGCCCCUUCAAGCAUCUUCCCAUGCAAAGUCGACCAAACCCUGUUUUAGCGCUUAUGUGUGACUAUAGUCUGAACAAGAAUUCUUCACUAGCUUAAUGUAACACAACAAACAUAUGGGUCUAUUAAUUAUAACAUUAGGGGGUCCCUAAAUUUUGUUAUUACAUGAAAAAGGUUUAUAAUUAAAGUGAAUGUAUGAGAAGGUGUUUUCUCCUGUGUAAUUUCAAUUCACAAUGACACAAAGGAAACAUUAUUUGAAUCUAUAAUCUGGAAGAAGAAUUCUUCUGUGACUUAAUGUAAUAGAACAAACAUAUGAGUAUGUUAAUUGUGUAACGUUAGGCUGCCCCUAAAUUUCAUUAUUACAGAAAACACCUUUGUAAUUGAGCGAUUCUAUGCAGAUGACGAUGUGCAGAUGACGGCGCACAUCACGUCAUCCAUGCAUAUCAUCAAGUAGUGACCAAUACCAUCCAAUCGUUCGAAGUUCGGCCGUCGACUGUCGUGCGUACAUCAAUUUCGUUUGUAAUUCAAGUUAAUAUAUGAGAAAGUGUUUUUUAUUAUGUGCAAUUCAAUUUCAUAGUAUAAUAAAGGAAAUAUUACUCGAAUAAUAAUAUAGGACUAAAAUGUAUGACAACAUGUCCUGCAGCAGGGCACAAAUUCAAGACCAUAACCCAAUGCUACCAAUUUUUUAACAAGUCCAUGUCUUCCUGAACCUGAAGUGAAACAUGAAAAUGCAAAACUAUAUAAGCAUCCCAGGAUUUGCAUAAUAGAAGAAAUCUUCCAUGAACAACGAAAUAGGGCACGUAGUACCUUCUUCGCAAAAAUUCAUCCAUCAAUUGUUUUUCAGCCACCUUCUGAGCUUUCUUACUUUCAUCCGUGUGCGGGCAUCGGAAUAUUUAGAGCACUCUGUUUCAAACUUCUUAACCCUAUUUGUAAUUUUGUUCGAUUCAUGGAAACAAGAACCCUGAGGAAUGAAAAGAAAAAUUAGACCAUACAAAGACAGAGAGCAGAAUGCUAUAAGGUAUGAGUCAGGAUAUACUAAAAAUGGGCAUACCUUGUUGCUGAAGCACACCUGGGAUGUUAGUAGAUGUUAGUAUUAGUUAGCUAGCUGUUAGCACUAGAAAGAAAAUAAUAAGAAGAAAAGAAAUAGAAGAAGAGAAGAGUAACAAAACUUGAAUAAUAAAUUAUUAAUAAUAGAUGUUAGUAUUAGUUAGCUUAAUUACCGCGAGUGCGUAUUUGUGAUGAUCGAGUGCAUUUAAAUGUGCAGUAGCUUCUCCGCGAGGGUUUGGUUUUCGACGACCUCCCCUGCAUUCGAAAGUGAGCACAUUUGUUAACUCCUCCUCCACCCCCUUUAUUUUGCUCUGUUCCGGCCUUCGUGCUGAUGACACUAUCUAGCUAGGUAUUUUUAGUAUUAAAAUGCAAUGUUGUUGCGUAACCAAUAUGCGUCUCCCGUUCGAAAGGGUUCGUGUUAUAAAUAUGCAUGCAUUUGCAUAUUUGUAACGAUGAUUCUUUCAAAUUGUCCAACGUUAUCCAUGGACAGCCCGGGUAUGUGUAGAUUGGGUCGUUUCCCACGCUUUGCUCCGGAUCCCAUGCAGAGUUUCGAUAGCGCCUCCUUGUUGUUCUCCGAGUACACAUCUGUGACUACCCGACGCCGACGUUCCAGAAGAUUCCCCUUUAUUUCCGUUUCCGUCAUGUGAAUAUUUUGUGUGUUGCGUUCAUCUUGCGCAUCAUGGCAUCAUGCAUGGCAUCUUGCAUCAUCUGUUGUGUGUGGUGUUUUGAGUGUGUGUGCUUCAAGUGCUCUCAGAGUCUUGCAAUAGGAAACUCCCUUCUCUCCUCUCUAUUCUAUUUUGUUUUGUGGUUGCGUUCAGGUUUCAGUUUUAACCCCAAUAAAAAGGUUCGUCUUCUUUUAAAAAUCAUUUUAUUAAAGGUGGAGGCAACCCCUCUGGUUUUUCUUUAUUUAUUCUUUUGUUUUAUUUCAAAAUAGAGUCGCAUUUUAUUUAUAAAAAAGGGUUUUAUUUUAUUCUUCAAAAAGGUUUCAUUUUUAUUCUUAAAAAAUGGCCAACCUAUUUCUUAUAGUUGGGGUAUGUUUUUAAGGAGUUAAAAGGUAUUUUUUGUUAAAUCCUUUUCUUUGUGAAUUUUCUGUUUUUAAAAAGAAAAAAACAAGAGAAGAGCAAGAGGGAGAGGGAGCCUGCCAAGGCCCAGGCCCAGCCGAUUCCCCACCCUGCCCUAGCGACAGUCUCCCCCCCUGUUCCCCUCCUCGCGCCGUCCACCCCUCCCCAGGCCCGAUACCCCCUCAGCCCGAUCCCCUCUCUGCCUUCCCCCUCGCGCAGCCUCCCCCAAGUCCCGAUCACAUCCGCCCUUGCCAUGGUUGCCAGCCCCGCGCCAGCAGACCCGCCGAUGCCCUGGCCUCCCUCUCCUGCCCCGUUGCCGAGCCGCCUUGGCCGCCAAGCCCCGUCGGCCGCCUCCUCUCGCCGUCUCCCGCCGCGAUGCACUGCCGUGCUCGCCUCCCGCAGCCAUGGCCGCGCGCCGCCGCCGGCUUGCUACUGUGCCCCCGCCGUGGACGCCUGCAGCGCCAACCUCGCCGACUGCGCCGCCCCGCGCGUGCCUUCCUCCCGGGCCAAGCCUUGCCAUGGCCUCGACCUCGCCUCCCUCGCCCUCGGCCUCGCCGCGUACCUCACCGCGCUGCGCCCCGCCCUCCUCCAGGAGCCGUGCCGCCGUUCCCCUACCGAGCCGCCUACUGCAGGAGCCGUGCCGCCGUUCCCGUGCGGAGAUCGCGAAGCUGCUGCUGCCGCUGUUGCCGAUGUGUUGUUAGCUGUAGCUCUCGUCUCUUGCUGCUGGCCGAUGCUGUUGUUAGUUGCUAUGCUUGCUGAUUGUUGUGCCGCCGUUGCUUGCCGUUUUUCUACAGCGUGUAUAUGCUGCCAGCUGUUGCCGACUGCUGCUUGCUAUUUGCCUGCACGCAUUGCCUGAUGCUGCUAGCUGUUGCUUGCUGUUUGCCUGCUAGCUGCUAGCCGUGUUGCUGCCGCUUGCCGAAGCUAGUUGCUUGUGCUGACGCAUGCUAUUAGCUGUUGUUGCUUGUGGUUGCCUGCCGUAGCUUGCCGUUAGCCGUAGCUCCUAUUUGUUGCUGCUUGUUGCUGCGUGCCUUGCCCUAUCGCCUUUCGGGAACGUCGCCGAAGUCCGCGAGCACCAUCCCCGCCACCGUGGGUCGUCGACAAGUUCGCCGAGUCCACGACGUCCUCGACGACCCCCCGAACAUCUUCGGAAAACAUGUUCUACUACCGACGCCGAAGACCCGUGAACCACAACGCCAAGCGAACCACUUCCGUCGACGAGACCGUGUACAACUACUUCCACGACGACCUAUGUUUUCAACGCAACGUUCCGAACCGCUAUACCUUGUGUUGCAUGUUUCUUGUAACGUAGCGACUCUCAUAGUCCCACGUGUUAAUCGACUAGGAUGACAGGUAGAAUCACCCGCUUCACCCCUUGCCAUGUUAACAACAAUUUAAUAUUGCUGUGUAAAUUAACGGGAGUGAACUAAACAAUUAAAUGUGGAGUUUCGUCGAUAUGCAACUCGUUGCAUAUCGAGGUUCACUUAAUGUGUAGUGUUUGUGUGAGGCGAAUUGCCAUGCCAUCCCUUGCAUUUUUGAUCUGCUCAUGCAUCAUAUUAGGGUGUGCAUCAUGUCUUGCAUUUCCCGUGGUGAAUAUCAGUGUUGAUGUUUGUUUCCGGUUUGCUCCGUCUCGAUAGAGCUCCGUAAGCGUGUCAGAAUGUGAGGACUCAUUCGACUACGUUGGUUCGCCGACUUCACGGAGUUGUUCUUCUUCCAAGCGGGAUGUCAGGCAAGAUGACCAUUUCCGCAGAUAUCAUUACUAUCAUUGCCAUGCUAGUUUUACCGUUUCUACCGGUUAUGUCUCGUUGCGUACCACAUGUUAUAUAUGAGCCUCUCAACAAUGCCAUGAAACCUUCACCCAAUCAACCUAGAAAACCACUGAUUAGCUAUGUUACCGCUAGCUUAACCAUGUUAUUAACGUUGCUAGUUGCACGUGUAGUUGCUUCCGUGUGAAAACAUGGAUUCCUUGUCUUAUCACCAUAUUUAAAUGCUAUUUAAGUUAAUGCACCUAUAUACUUGGUAAAAGGUGGAAGGCUCGGCCUUUCUAGCCUGGUGUUUUGUUCCACCUUUGCCCCCUUAGUUUAGGCUACCGGUGUUAUGUUCCAUAAUUGAGCGCUCCUAACACGAUCGGGGUUGUUAUGGGGAUCCCCUUGAUAAUUCAUUUUAGAUUAAAGCUGGUCUGGCAAAGCCCAACUUUGGUACUACUUUUGCCUAAUAACUAAUGAACUGCAUAGGGAGUAAUUAACCCGAGGAAAUUUAAUCAACCCCCGGGCCAGUGCUCCUCAUGAGUGUUGGUCCAAAACAGAGCAGCUUAUUAACGCUACCCGGGGCAACUCGGCAGUUGGCGUGGUAACCAUCGCUCAUCCGUCGUGUCCUGAGAACGAGAUACACGGCUCCUAUCAGGAUCGUCGACACGUCGGGCGGCAUUGCUGGAUUAUUUUUACCUUUGACGGAAUAUCUUGUGCAUCCGGAUUCCGGUGAUGCUUUGGGUAAUCUCAGAGUUGAGGUGUUCCACUAGGGAAUCCGACGAGAUCGCGAGCUUCGUGGCUGAGCAUUUCUAUGCGGCUUGUGGUAAUUUGUGAUGGACUAGUUGGAGCACCCCUGCAGGGUUAAAUAUUUUCGGGAAGCCGUGCCCGUGGAUAUGUGGCAACGUGGAAGCUUUGUUUAACACUGGUUCUAGAUAACUUGAAGUUAAGUUAAUUAAAAUAUGCCAACUCUGUGCGUAACCGUGCCUGUCUCUUUCGUGAGUUCCUUCUCCGAUCGAGGACACGGUGGGGUUAUGUUUGACGUAGGUAGGUGUUCAGGAUCAUUCAUUUGAUCAUCAGUAGUUCACGUCCGUUAUGCAUAGAUCUUCCCCCUCUUAUUUCUUGUACUCGUAAGUGUAGCCACCAAAUAUAUGCUUAGCCGCUGCUGCAACCUCACCACUUAACCAUACCUCACCUAAUAAGCUUUGCUAGUCUUGAUACCUUUGGAAAUGAGAAUGCUGAGUCCCCUGAGGCUCACAGAUUACUACAACACUAGCUGCAGGUAUAGGUAAAGGUUACUUGAUGCGAGCGCGUUGAUUGUUCAUUUGGAGUUGCUUCUUCUUCUUCUUCAUUGAUCUUGGAUGGGUUCCAGGCCAGCAGCCUGGGAUAGCAAGGAUGGACGUCGUUCUUCUUCUCACGUUUGUUUUUCGUCCGUUGUCGGACCCUGCUCUUAUUUAUGAUGUUUAUGUAUUGUACUGCUGUGACUCUGAUGUAGCUUGUGGCGAGUGUAAGCCAAUUCUAUAUAUAUAUCUCUUCUUUUCAAUACAUGUACUUGUAACGAUAUCCAUUCUUGCGAAACGACGAGAAGUGCUUCUAUCCUCAACGAGGCCCUCGUGCCAAAUUAAGGAUAGGGUCGCAUCUUGGGCGUGACAAGUUGGUAUCAGAGCAGUAUCGACCUAGGAGCCCCCUUGAUUGAUCGAACUUGGCCGAGUCGAGUCUAGUGAAAAAUUGCUUUGAGUCUAGUUAUAUAUCGGAGAGUAGGAUUCUUUUUUCUCCUCUUCUAUGCUCUAGUGAGGAAUCUUAACGUAAUAUUUUAAUUCUACUCCCCUUCUCACUCAAAUUUUUUUUAGGAUCACGUGGAUAUUUUGGAACCUAUAUGAUGCCGAUGUGACGGACUUUUGUCUUGGUGCCUCCUGUCUGACUUGAUUUUCUUCCGAGGAGUUGAGCUCCAGGGGAUUCUCGAGCACAUCGUUAUCAUUCAGAUUUCUUAUUAUCUCAGAACGAAGGAUGUUCGUAAUUGCUUCAAUACUAGUAGUGGUGAGAUAACCCCGAUGUCCCUAGUACUGGUGCAGAUUGUUCGGGAGUACUGCCAUACUUUGUAUGAUUGUGAUCACGAGGGUGUGUAGUAGAUGAAGGUCCGAGAUUCUGGUUGUGUGUUGACGAAUGUGAUACAUUGGACGGCUUAGUAUAGGGGUUGUGUGAUAUUACUCCUUGUAUCCGUGUACCAGAUUGCAUGACCAGAAAUUUCGGGAAUUCUUAGGUGGGAAUUCAGGUAGUUACUUAUAGGACAAUCUUCCAACAAAUGCAUGAUGUUAGGUUGGGGUUCGACAUCUAGUGGAUUCGUUUGUUGACGGUCGACUUACAGCGGUUCUCGUUGUGUCUUAAAGAGUCCUUGUAGCUUGCUAUGACUCGGGGACGCUUCGUAUGUCGGGUGUACUGCCUUGCACUUGAUGGCUACUGUUAGAUCGAGCCCGUGCGAUCCUGUCCACGAAAGUAUCGAACGGAAAUCUCUCUCAUGAGUUUGUUCUGGCUUGUUUCAUAAGCCUCAUCCCUUUGUUUUUGCUGAAUAUGGUAAUUCAAGUUGCUUCGAUGUCAAGUGGUGAUUUCAGAUCUUUCCAAGAGGUCUUCGCAUAUUUUUUAUGUGAAUGCUAAUUCUUUUGCUCAAUAAAUUGUCGUAUCAAUUCUUGUCAACCGGAGUCGUCAUGUUAAUUCUUUUCCAACCGGCGUGCUUCUCUUCUGGUGAAUUCAAUCCUCUCCUAUUGUUGCAGAUCAUUCUCUCAUUUUAUUCCGGAGUUCAUCUCAUCUGUCCCAUGUUGUCUUUGUUUUUCCCACCCUCCCACCCUUUUUCUUCAGUGAUUCAAUUUUCAUCCAAGAGUUUUUCUUUUCAUUGUGCUUCCGCUAUCUGUUCUUUUCUCCCUUGCCCGGUGAUACAUUGUAAAGAUUCUUAGGAGAUUCGUGUCAUAAUUGUUCAUUCUUUUCAUCUUUUCCGGUGAACUUAAUUCAGUUGCCCGUGUUCAUCUUAUCCUUUUCAUCCUUGUUAUUUCUUUCCUAUGUUGGGAAUUCUUAUCAGCCUUUGUUGUUUAAUUAUUGCUCUCUUUUUUAUCCAGAGCAUUGAAGUUAUCUCAGUAGUUCCUGCUUCCAAUCUUUUCAAUUAUUUCGAGGUGCUAACCUCGUCUAGUUCUCUUCAUACCGGUGCAAUAUCUUUCUUUCUAAGAAAUCUUUUCAACGGUGGUUUCUUUGAGUGGGCCCAUAACCCACAGGUUCUUUCCCAGGAACUUAUCUGGCUCUUGUAAUUUUUCCGGAGAUCAUUAAUUCUUUUCAACUAUGACGUAAGUAUAAAUUUCAUCAAUCAUAUUCCUUCUCCAAGACCUAUUAGAUUUAAUUCUCAUAUUUGGCUCAAACUUUUAUUCUUCUUUAUUCCGGAGUGUCUCAUUAGUUCUUGGUGGUGUUCUCCUCAUCUUUUCAGCUUUGAAGUCGAAGGAGUGUUUCUCUCAAAUCUUUGUUCAUUCUCUUGCAGAUUCAUCAUUUCAGCUUUAUGCCAUCAUCUUAAUUGUUUUCAAUCAUGUGUAUCCCUUUCUUGCUAUCUGGUGCAGUUCUGAUUUGUCUUUAUUUCUUGAUCCUCCGAAGGCCAUCAUUUCAGAAGAAUCUUCGUUGUCAGCUUUCAGCUUUCAUCCUCAAUUCUUCUUCAUUGUUGUCUCUUCGUUCGUCUCUCGUUUAUCCGGUGCCUUGUUUUAGUUUUCUCUUAGGUGGCUCAUGAUCUCUUCAUUCUCAUGUAUCUCCAUUAAUUCGUGGUGUUCCCAUUCAUUUGUGAAUUCUUACCGGUGCUUCCUUCGUUUAUGCUUCAUGUGGUGCAUAUCUAUCUCUCUCUCCAAGUUUCCUUCAAGAAGAAUAAGUGCUACGCUAAAUCCGUUGCUUGUCAUCAAUUAAACUUGAUGAAGGAUAAGCAUAACAUAAUUCUUAUUCCUGUUUCAUAGUGAUUUCAAUCUUUCUUCCAGACUGCCUCAUGAUAUCAAUUCCUUUUUCUGAAGUGUUAUUAUCUUUUCUUUUCCGGAGUUCCAAGUUUUCUCAAGUAUCUCUUCGUGAAGCUUCAUCGAAGGCUUUGCAAGGCUUUAAUCUUAUUCUUUCAUCCUUCAUAUCUUGCAUCAUCCUUUUGAUAUGGAGGCUCGUCAUGCUGGUUCUUCAAGGAUGUGAUUUUUUCUCAAAGUGUUCUUCAACAUUCCUAUUGGAGUACCUCAAGUAUUCUUUCUCUUCCAUUUCCAGUGCUUUGUUAUUCCUUUAUCCUUUGAGGUGGUAUUAUAGCGUUCUUGUUAGUGUAGGAGCCUCGAAGAGAUUUCCUUUCAAGAAUGAGAUAAUUAUAUCCACCAAUUCUUUGAUCAUGAGAUAUGUACAACCCAUGAUUUCUUCAUUGAGCUAUAUUGGUUUGGAUUUCACCUAAAGCUUUUCCUAUGGAUUGUUGCUAUCAUGGUGCUUGUCAUUAAUCCAAGUUCUCAAUGUAUCCUCUUGGUGUAAGAAAUUGUUCAUAUCUUGUUUCUCCCAAUCAAUCCUUGUUUCUGUUAGUGGCUGGUUGUCACUUCAUUAGUUUGAAAGGUUUCCAUAAGCCCACUACUAUCUUGUCUUUUCAUUGUUGUUUUUUCUACAACUCAAUUCAAUUCUUCUUGCAAGGAUGCUUGCCAAGUUCAUUUGAGUUAGUAGUUGUCAUUCUUUUCUUCACUCUCUUCUUCCGCUUGAGUUAGUUCAUAUUCUGUUGUUCCGGAGGCAUUGUGAUAUUUCUCUUUUGGGUCUAGCUUCUUGUUCUGUCGAGAUCAUGGUGUUCCCUUGUUCUAUUUAGUUGUUUGUUAUGUAUAUUGUCUAAUUCUCUCUUCUUAUUGAAUUUUUUGUCCCAUUUUCCUACCGAAGUGCUGCCGAAAUUUUCCGUGAAUUCUUGCUUGUUUCUCAUGUCAUGUUAAUCUCUUUGCAACUUUCAAGGAUUGUUGGUGUCACUCGUUUGUCAAAGAAGCGACUAAGUUUUACCUCUUGUUCUUUCUCAUCCUCUCCCCCUUUCAUUCUUGGAUCUCAGGGCGAGAUCCUCUUGUAGUGUAGGAGAGUUAUGACAGCCCGACGCCGACGUUCCAGAAGAUUCCCCUUUCUUUCCGUUUCCGUCGUGUGAAUAUUUUGUGUGUUGCGUUCAUCUUGCGCAUCAUGGCAUCAUGCAUGGCAUCUUGCAUCAUCUGUUGCGUGUGGUGUUUUGAGUGUGUGUGCUUCAAGUGCUCUUAGAGUUUUGCAAUAGGAAACUCCCUUCUCUCCUCUCUAUUCUAUUUUGUUUUGUGUUGCGUUCAGGUUUCAGUUUUAACCCCAAUAAAAAAAGGUUCGUCCUCUUUUAAAAAUCAUUUUAUUAACGGUGGAGGCAACUCCUCUGGUUUUUCUUUAUUUAUUCUUUUGUUUUAUUUCAAAAUAGAGUCACAUUUUAUUUAUAAAAAAGGAUUUUAUUUUAUUCUUCAAAAAGAUUUCAUUUUUAUUCUUAAAAAAUGCCCAACCUAUUUCUUAUAGUUGGGUUAUGUUUUUAAGGAGUUAAAAGGUAUUUUCUUUAUUUUUGUUGUUAAAUCCUUUUCUUUGUGAAUUUUUUGUUUAAAAAAAAAGAGAAGAGCAAGUGGGAGAGGGAGCCUACCAAGGCCCAGGCCCAGCCGGUUCCCCAGCGUGCCCUAGUGACAGUCUCCCCUCCACCUGUUCCCCUCCUCGCGCCGUUCUCGCCUCCCCAGGCCCGAUACCCCUCAGCCUGAUUCCCUCUCUGCCUUACCCCUCGCACAGCCUCCCCCAAGUCCCGAUCCCAUCCUCCCUCGCCAUGGUUGCCAGCCCCGCGCCAGCAGACCCGCCGACGCCCUGGCCUCCCUCUCCUGCCCCAUCGCCGAGCCGCCUUGGCCGCAAAGCCCCGCCGGCCGUCUCCUCUCGCCGUCUCCUGCCGCGUUACCCUGCUCUGCUCGCCUCCCUCAGCCAUGGACGCGCGCCGCCGCCGGCUUGCUGCUGUGCCCCCGCCGUGAACGCCUGUAGCGCCAACCUCACCGACUGCGCCGCCCCGCGCGUCCCUUCCUCCCGGACCAAGCCUUUCCAUGGACUCGACCUCGCCUUCCUCGCCCUCAGCCUCGCCGCGUCCCUCGCCGAGCUGCGCCCCGCCCUGCUCCAGGAGCCGUGCCGCCGUUCCCCUGUCGAGCCGCCUGCUGCAAGAGCCGUGUCGCCGUUCCCCUGCCGAGAUCGCGAAGCUGCUGCUGUCGUUGUUGCCGAUGUGUUGCUAGCUGUAGCUUGCAUUUCUUGUUGCUGGCCAAUGCUGUUGUUAGUUGCUAUGCUUGCUGAUUGUUGUGCGGCCGCUGCUUGCCAUUUUUCUGCUGCUUGUAUAUGCUGCCAGCUGUUGCCGGCUGCUGCUUGCUAUUUGCCUGCACGCGUUACAUGAUGCUGCUAGCUAUUGCUUGCUAUUUGCCUGCUAGCUGCUAGCCGUGUUGCUGCCGCUUGCCGAAGCUAGUUGCUUGUGCUGACGCAUGCUAUUAGGUGUUGCUGCUUGUGGUUGCCUGCUGUAGCUUGCCGUUAGCCGUAGCUGCUAUUUGUUGCUGCUUGUUGUUGCGUGCCUUGCCCUAUCACCUUUCGGGAACGUCGCCGAAGUCCACGAGCACCAUUCCCGCCACCGUGGGUCUACGACAAGUUCGCCGAGUCCACGACGUCCUCGACGACCCCCGGACAUCUUCGGAAAACAUGUUCGACUACCGACGCCGAAGACCCAUGAACCACAACGCCAAGCGAACGACUACAGUCGACGAGACCGUGUACCACUACUUCCACGACGACCUAUGUUUUCACCACAACAUUCAAAACCGCUCCGAUAUGCAUGCUUUGAAGGUAUACCGUUCGAACGUGUCGUGUAACGAAUGCAUAUGAUGUAUGAGAUGUACCGUAUGUUUGCGCCUAUAGAUGUUUCCCGUUGCACGUUGUCUUUCUCUGGCUGUGCCCCUGACACAUGGGAACCUGAUAGACGGGAUCACCCCAUCUUUAUUUAGCGUUCCCGCACGCGCUCCCUAUUUGUUGGCACCGAUAUCUCGUUGAGUUAGCGGGAUAGGAACGUUGUCGUGGCUUCGUUUCCAUUUUGCCGCCAUGGUUCCCUUUCGCUCGCCGUGGCGACACAUGCUUCUUUCUCUUCUUGCCCGUGUUGUAACUUGCAUGCCUGACGCAUUCAUGGCAUGAUACCUUGUGUUGCAUCUUUCUUGUAACGUAGCGACUCUCAAAGUCCCGCGUGUUAACCGACUAGGAUGACAGGUAGAAUAACCCGCUUCACCCCUUGCCAUGUUAACAACAAUUUAAUAUUGCCGUGUAAAUUAACGGGAGUGAACUAAACAAUUACGUGUGGAGUUUCAUCGAUAUGCAACUCGUUGCAUAUCGAGCUUCACUUAAUGUGUAGUGUUUGUGUGAGGUGAAUUGCCAUGCCAUCCCUUGCAUUUUUGAUCUGCUCAUGCAUCAUAUUAGGGUGUGCAUCAUGUCUUGCAUUUGCCAUGGUGAAUAUCAGUGUUGACGUUUGUUUCCGGUUUGCUCCGUCUUGAUAGAGUUCCACAAGCGUGUCGGAAUGUGAGGACCCGUUCGACGUUCGCCGACUUAACGGAGUUGUUCUUCUUCCAAGCGGGAUCUCAGGCAAGAUAACCAUUUCCCCAGAUAUCAUUACUAUCAUUGACAUCCUAGUUUUACCGUUUCUACCGUUUAUGUCUCGUUGCCUACCACAUGUUAUAUAUGAGCCUCUCAACAAUGCCAUGAAACCUUCACCUGUUCAACCUUGCAAACCACUGAUUGGCUAUGUUACCGCUUGCUUAACCAUGUUGUUACCGUUGCUAGUUGCAGGUGUAGUUGCUUCCAUGUGAAAACAUGGGUUCCUUGUCGUAUCACCAUAUUUAAAUGCUAUUUAAUUUAAUGCACCUAUAUACUUGGUAAAAGGUGGAAGGCUCGGCCUUUCUAGCCUGGUGUUUUGUUCCACCUUUGCCCCCUUAGUUUCGGCUACCGGUGUUAUGUUCCAUAAUUGAGAGCUCCUAACACGAUCGGGGUUGUUAUGGGGACCACCUUCAUAAUUCGUUUUAGAUUAAAGCUGGUCUGGCAAGGCCCUACUUUGGUACUACUUUUGCCUAAUAACUAAUGAACUACAUAGGGAGUAAUUAACCCGAGGAAAUUUAAUCAACCCCCGGGCAUGUGCUCCUCAUGAGUGUUGGUCCAAAACAGAGCAGCUUAUUAACGCUACCCGGGGCAACUCGGCGUUUGGCGUGGUAACCAUCGCUCAUCCGUCGUUUCCUGAGAACGAGAUACGCGGCUCCUAUCGGGAUCGUCGACACGUCGGGCGGCCUUGCUGGAUUAGUUUUACCUUUGAUGAAAUAUCUUGUGCAUCGUGAUUCCAGUGAUGCUUUGGGUAAUCUCAGAGUUGAGGUUUUCCACUAGGGAAUCCGACGAGAUCGCGAGCUUCGUGGUUGAUGAUUUCUACGCGGCUUGUGGUAAUUUGUGACGGACUACUUGGAGCACCCCUGCAGUGUCAAAUCUUUUCAGAAAGCCGUGACCGCGGUUAUGUGGCAACCUGGAAGAUUUGUUUAACACUGGUUCUAGAUAACUUGAAGUUAACUUAAUUAAAAUAUGCCAACUGUGUGCGUAACCGUGCAUGUCUCUUUCGUGAGUUCCUUCUCCGAUCGAGGACACGGUGGGGUUAUGUGUGACGUAGGUAGGUGUUCAGGAUCAUUCAUUUGAUCAUCAGUAGUUCUUGUCCGCUAUGUGUAGAUCUUCCCCCUCUUAUUUCUUGUAGUCGUAAGUGUAGCCACCAAAUAUAUGCUUAACCGCUGCUGCAACCUCACCACUUAACCAUACCUCACCUAAUAAGCUUUGCUAGUCUUGAUACCUUUGGAAAUGAAUUUGCUGAGUCCCCUGUGGCUCACAGGUUACUACAACACCAAUUGCAGGUACAGGUAAAGGUUACUUGACGCGAGCGCAUUGAUUGUUCAUUUGGAGUUGCUUCUUCUUCUUCUUCUUCAUCGAUCUAGGAUGGGUUCCAGGUCGGCAGCCUGGGAUCGCAAGGAUGGACGUCGUUCUUCUUUUGUCGUUUGUUUUUUGUCUGUAGUCGGACCCUGCUCUUAUUCAUGAUGUUUAUGUAUUGUACUGCUGUGACUCUGAUGUAGCUUGUGGCGAGUGUAAGCCAAUUCUCUCUCUCUCUCUCUCUCUCUCUCUCUCUCUCUUUAUAUAUAUAUCGUUGUCGGACCCUGCUCUUAUUUAUGAUGUUUAUGUAUUGUACUGCUGUGACUCUGAUGUAGCUUGUGGCGAGUGUAAGCCAAUUCUAUAUAUAUCUUCUUUUCAGUACAUGUACUUGUAACGAUAUCCAUUCUUGCGAAACGACGAGAUGCGCUUCUAUCCCUGACGAGGCCCUCGUGCCAAAUUAAGGAUAGGGUCGCAUCUUGGGCGUGACAACAUCCUCUCGGUUAGUUGCCGAGACGUGUAUCAGGAGAAGAGGUGUUGCCGAAAUUUUGCGUUGGAUCGGGAGCAGAGCAUGGGGAAAUGACCCAAUCUACACAUACUCGGUGGGAUUAGGACCCAUCUUUACCUAGUAGCUGGUAGGUGUGCAUGCCGUGCAUCCCAAUGUAUUAACCAUGAUUAAAAAAUGGCCAUAAUUAAUUUAACAUACUUGAUGAACUGAUAAUUUAUAUUGUUUAUAUGUGGAUACUAUAUAGCUAGCUUGCAAGAAUGACUGAUCGUCAAUGGAUGUACACCGGUCACCAUAGUCAGAGAGAGAGGACCGAUGAAUGGUUGAGCAAAACCUAUGAAUUCAUGGAAACGACAUUUUCUAAAGGCCAGCCAAAAACAUGGUCCCCCUGCACUAAGUGCAAGAAUUAUUCGUGACAGACAAAGGAUGUAAUGGGUAAACACCUGCAGAUGCAUGGUGAGUCGGCCCAACGAUGAUUAUGGUACAGGGAUUGAAGACAUGGUGAAUGACUUUGAUGAUGCUCGGAACAAGGACGAAGAGAUGGAGGAAUCCGCGAAAGCCUUCUAUGCCAUGUUGGAGUCUUAAAAACAUCCUCUUCACGAGCACACUAAGAUUUCUCAGCUAGAUGCUAUCGCACAAGUAAUGGCUCUGAAAGCCCAAUUCAACAUUGGAAGAGACCUCUUUGACUCAGUGAUGACCCUAUUUGGGCGCUUUCUACCCGUAGGUCAUAUUAUGCCUUCAAACCUAUAUGAGUCAGACAAAAUCCUUAGUGCACUCAAGAUGCCGUGUGAGCGGAUACAUGCUUGUGAGAAAGGAUGUGCCUUAUUUAGGAAAGAGUAUGCGGACGAAACAUAUUGUCCAUUUUGCAAGUCCUCCAGAUAUGUCGAGGUAGAAAACGGUGAAGGUGAGAAGAAGCAGAGCAAAAUCUGUGUGAGUGUCCUACAGUAUCUGCUGAUCCUACCAAGACUUCAACGACUUUACAUGCUCGAAGAAAUAGCAAAACAGAUGACAUGGCACAAACAUGGAAUUAGGAAAGAAUUAGAUGAACACGGAGUUCCGAUUUUGGUACACGCUUCAGAUGGUGACGCAUGGAAGGCAUUCGAUAGUAUACAUAAGGAAAAAGCUAAAGAACCAAGGAAUUGUCGAAUCGCCAUCAGCCUCGAUGUGUUCAAUCCUUUUGGUAUGAUGGCUACCCAAUAUAGUUGCUGGCUUGUAUUUGUCAUUCCCCUCAAUCUUCCACCAUCAUCCAUUAUGCAAAGAAAGCACAUAUUUCUGACGUUGAUAGUUCCAGGGCCAAACUACCCGGGGAAGAAUAUGAGUGUGUACAUGCAACCGCUGAUGGAUGACUUGAAAGAAGCUUGGGUGAAUGGGGUCAACACAUACAACAUAGCUAAGGAAGAGAACUUUCAAAUGUAUGUUUGGUACCAAUACUCGUUGCAUGAUCUGCCGGCAUUGGCGCUUUUCGUUGCCUGGUGUGUGCAUGGAAGGUUCCCAUGCCCACAGUGCAAGGCAGCUCUUAAGUUUCAUUGGUUGCCGGCGGGUGGGAAGUAUUCCUGCUUUGACUUGCAUAGACAGUUCUUGCCUAUGGACCAUCCAUUCAGAAAAGACAAGAAGAAUUUCAUGAAAGGUAAAGUUGUCAAACACUCGGCACCACCUGCGUUGACGGGGGCACAAAUUAAUGAACAGUUAAAAUCUAUGGAGCCUGAUUCAAACCGUCCAGGGUAUUUCUUGGGUUAUAAUGAGGAACACGCUUGGACCCACAGGCGAUGCAUCUAGGAUCUCCCCUACUUCGAAGACCUCUUACUUCCACACAACAUUGACAUGAUGCACACUGAAAAGAAUAUCGCCGACGCCCUUCUUGGCACAUUUUUCAGCACUGAUAAGGGAAAAGAUAAUACAAAGGCUAGAGUUGACCAGGAGACUCUUUGUGAUAGGCCAUCACUAAACAUGCGAGAACCGAAAGGAAGAAAAAAUUGGUCCAAACCACCUGCCUGGUACAAUCUUGAGAAGGGAGCAAUAAGGGAAAUCCUCUUGUGGGUGCAAAAAAAGUUGUUGUUCGCCGAUGGGUAUGCUGCGGAUCUAGCGAGGGGAGUGAGCAUUUAAAAAAUGAAUUUUUUUGGGCUCAAGAGUCAUGAUUGGCACAUAUGGCUUGAGCGGAUAAUGCCGAUGAUGUUGCGUGGCUGUAUCCCCGAGGAUGAAUGGCUAGUAUUAGCCGAGUUGAGCUAUUUCUUCCGUGUUCUUUGUGCUAAAGAGUUGUCGCGUGCCGUGAUAGAUGACAUGGAAGAGUUGGCGCCUGAGUUGCUCUGCAAGUUAGAGAAUAUUUUUCCACCGGGCUUCUUUAAUCCGAUGCAACACAUGAUUUUGCAUCUCCCAACCGAGGCAAGAUUGGGUGGCCCUGUGCAAAAUCGGUGGUGCUACGCAACUGAAAUAAUGCAGAAGACACUUCGAGGAAAAUGUAAAAAUAAACGUAGAAUUGAAGCAUCGAUGGCCGAGGUGUUCAUUACCGAGGAGGCAACAAACUUCGUAACAGCACACUAUGAUGCCACUAUGCACAACUUGCAUAAUCCAAAGACUCGGUACAAUGUGGGCGACGCCAAACGACGUGAAUCCAAUCUCAGCUUCUUCAAAGGGAAGCUCGCACCUUCUGGUGUGGGAAAACCAAAGUUAUUGUGCGUCGAGGAGUGGCGCACACUAAGGAUGUAUAGAUUGAACAACUUAACAUAAGUUCGAUCAUACAUCGAGUAAGUGUUGUGUACAUUGUUUCGCAACUUUUAACAAGUUUUGUGCCUAACAACUAUUAUUAAUUGAUACAGUCGAUACGUCGAAAAAUUCACGAAUAGUGUUGCAAUCAAAAAGAAUCCAUUCUCGAGUAUGAACUUUUUGAAAAGACAGCAGGCGGCUAUCCCAGUUUCAUCUCUUGGUUCAAAAAACGGUACCUCCCUUAUAUAUAAUAGGUGAUUUCCUUUGUUGCUAUUACUCAUGAGUAACACACCAAAUUCUAUCUUUUCUUAACUUCUAGGCUAAUUCAGAUGAGAAAGUCGAUGAUGAAUUGAGACAAAUAGCUAAUGGUUUUGACUUUAAGGUCCGUACAUUUCAGAAGUACGACAUCAACGGGUAUCGCUUUCGUACUACUAGCAAAGAGCUUUCAAUGCCCGGUCGAAAAACAAACAAUUCCGGUGUCUCUGCUAUAGGCGAGGGAGGUGUCGAGUAUUAUGGAAGACUUGAAGAAGUCUACGAACUUCAUUAUUAUGGUGAAAAUCCUCCGAACGUUGUUGUGUUCAAAUGUCAUUGGUUCGAUCCUACUAAGACAAGACAGACUCAUGAACAUCUUGGGCUAGUCGAAAUUCGACAAGACAGGCAGUUAAGCGGUGCCGAUGUCUACAUUGUGGCUCAACAGGCCACCCAAGUUUUCUAUCUGCCAUACUGUCGUCAAAGUUUUAAGAACCUGGGAGGUUGGUAUGUCGUGUUCGAUGUGCCGCCACAUCUUAGACCACCUCUGCCAAAUGAAGACGAUUAUGAACCUCAAAUUGACCCAAUAACAUAUGAUGGAGAAUUCUUCCAAGAAUCACGUGGUGUGAGACGUCGUACCCGAAACUGCUCUACGUCCACCUUGAACACGGAGGAACAAGAAUCACGUGAUGAUGAGGAAGAAGUGGAAGUAGAAGAGGUUACCAAUGCGGAUGAGCUAUCAAUGCUUGAUCGGUUACAAAAAGGCCUUCCACAUGAUGUCCCUGAACCCGAUGACGAUAUCAGUCAUGACGACAUGUGUGAUACCGAUGAUGAUUUUGCUUCAAUUGACCACGGAGAAGAGACAGAUGAUCCCGACUAUUAGUACUUUGUAUGCAUCCAAACAUUGUUGUUUAAUUAUUCAAUUAUUAGUUGAAUUAUUCAUGUAUUUAUUAUUGUUCGUUUAAUUAUUAUCCUUGAAUUUGUACUAAUUAUUUAACUAUUUAUCAUUCCAGGUGGUGAGACAUGGCAGGCGGGGAUAAGUUGAGGAUAGAACCUGGGCAGCUACGGAGAACUUUGUUAUAGAGCUUUGCCGAGGAGCCCCGUGGGAGAGGCGGAGGAAAGAAGAGAGGCAGAGGACGUGGUCGUGGGAGAGGGAGGCUACCUGAUAGGAGCUAGUCGCCACCACCCUCGGCUACUUCUCUCUCAGCCACUUCACCCUUGCAGACGAGGGUGUCACCGGUGCGGGAUCCUCCCGUCGAGGAGCAGACACCGAUGCAGGGGGAUGAGGCGGAGGCUGAGGAGGGGGCUGAGGCAGAGGCUGAGGGGGCUGAGGGGGAGGCUGAGGGACACAGGCGGAGCCUAUCUGCCAGCAAGUUAGUCUACCAACGUGGUAUGACACGAGUUCGAGACCGAUUGGAGUUGCAGCACAGGGCGUUCAUUGAGACAGAUGGCAAGAAGUAAGUUGAUAUAUAUUGUGUACCUUAUAUCAUUAUAUUUCACCAAGUAGCUAAUGUCUUUACCUUAUCAUUAUGUAGGGGGUGGACUUACCCGGAGAAUACCCGGAAUCCAAACUGCCUCCUUGGUGCUUUACUUAGGGAGCACUUCCCUGGGAUAGUGCAGUUGCCCGGUGAGGGUAUGGUUCCCAAGCCAGGACUCAAGUGGGAGCACUACCCAGCUGCUCUGCUCCCGGAAAACACACAUGUGAAUGGUGUUGUUUGCGUGAGCGUGGCCAACAAGGUGUUGGAUGAUUUUUGGGUAACUAUUAUUUUACCCAAUAAAAAGUAUACAAUGUUAUAUAUUGUUAUUUCCUUCCAAAUCAUUUCACUAUUCAUCUGUGCAUCUAUAUGGCAUAAUUGCAGAGUUACUUUAGGGUCGAGGACGGGACGGAGGAGGUGGCCAAGAAGAACCUCGUGAAAGAGUGCAAGAGUUUAUUGAAUAACACGAGGCACGAGCUGCGUGUUCAGGCUGUUCAAGAUUGGUACGCCAAGCAAGGGGAGCCGAAGACAAAGACUGAAUGUCGAAAGAUUUACCUUGAUAAGACCGAGUACAUGGAGGUAUAUACAUUCCAAAGAUCAAUUUCUUUAAUAGUUUUGUUAGGGCUAGUUAGGUCUAUUUAGUUAUAAUACUUAGUUUCAUUCUUCAUUAACUUACAUUCAUAGGUGCCCCCGAGAUGGUUGGCCGAUAAGAUGGAUUGUUGGGAGAUGAUAGUGGACAGGUGGUGCACACAGGCUUGGUUGAGCACCCACACUGUGGCCAAGGACUGUUGUGCCCAAUUGGUUGGUGUGCCACACCACCAAGGCAAUGCCAACAUCAAGCAAUACGCCAAAAAAUGGGUUUGUGUGCCUUGUUUUGUUUCAUCAAUAAUUCAUUCGUUCAUGAUUUUUGUUGUACUAAUUCUUUGUCUUUUCUUGUAGGCCAAACACAAUAACCAGCCCGAGCCUCAGGGAUACGCCACGUUUAGCAUGGCCCAUAAGGGCUCGUACAAGACGACAAAGGCAUAUUCUGAGGGGGACGAGCCAUCGACGUACACAAGCCUGUCCGCCUACAACAAGAUGACGUCUUAUUCUGAGGUGGUCAAACAGCUACGCGGGCCUGACUUUGACCCGAGCCAGAAUCCUAUCGAUCCGGAGGCGUUGAUGAUCUCUGGUGGAGGUAAGAGUCAUGGCACGCUGGCCAUGUGUGAUGGCUUCGUCCCUAUCACUGAGACUCUAUCUCAGAUCAAGGCGAGGCAAACGAGCUCCGCUCCUGUAAUACGGCAACGCGCGAGGCCAGUUGAUCUUGCCAUCGAGGUUAGUUUCCUUCAUUAUUUCUUUCGUUCAUUUGUCCCUGGAGGGAUGAUGAAAAUUCCUUUUGAGGAGUGGUUGCAGGCCGCACUUGACAAGGAGAGGGAGGCCACCAGGCUCUUGUUGGAGGAGAGGGACCGAAAUACGCAGAGGUUGCUUGAGGAGGAGAGGGCACGCAAUAAUGCCCAUGCGAAGGCCAUGCAUGACUUCGUUGUGGUAAGUCAGUUGUGUGAGAAGCAAGGCUAUGUGUGAGAAGCAACAAGGCUAUUUCUUUGACUCCUCGAAAAAUAAUUUGCAGGCUAUGUGUGAGAAGCAAGGUUUGCCGUCCCCUCCGUCGAUGCCUUCCCUAGUGGGAAUGGUGAGUUGCCUUUCAAUGGCCAACCUUGCACGGUCUUAGACCAUUGUGUGUCUCCGUGCUAACCACAUAUUUUAACUCUUGCCUUGUUGUAGCAUCAUUCCAGUGUUGAAUCCCACGAUCCCUUUACAUCUCCUAGUGAUAGCCCUAGCAACCCAACGACCAACGGAGAUGGUGCUUCUCCUCCGUUUCUUGGCAUUCGGUAAGUUAUUCUUCUCCUUCUUAUUCUUCUUAUUGUUUAGAUCAACUUAGAUUAUGCCAUGCUUUAGUUAGAUUAGUAAAUUCUAGUUGAUAUUAGCCAUGCUUUAGUUAGCUUAGUAAAUUCUAGUUGAUAAUUAGCUUACUUACCUAAAAAAUUACAUAAUUAGCUUACUUACUUCAAAAAUGACAUAAUUACUUGAUAACACAAAAAAUAGUAUAAUUAGUUGAUAUUAGAGCUCAAAAAUGACAUAAUUAGUUUAGAAAGUUUAAAAAGAAACGAGAAGAGAAGAACAAAGAAUAGAUGAAGAAAUAAGAGAAGAAGAAAGAGGAGAAAAAGAUAUAAUAAGAAGAACAAAUCUUCUUAUUCUUCCUUUUUCUCUUCUUUCUUUUUCUCCAUCUUCUUCUUCUUCUUCUUCUUCUUCUUCUUGUUCUUGUUCUUGUUCUUAUUCUUCUUAUUCUUCUUCUUCCACUUCUUCUUCUAGUUGCUUAGCUUAAUUUAGAUAACUUAUUUCUUAUUAUAUUCUUCUUCUAACUUCUUUCUCAUUAUGCAGAUUUUGAUAAAGCAACAUGGCAUAUGGAUGGAUUCUCCAGGGACUGUACUCAUGUAGUCUUAGAUGAAAUUUGUAAUGCACUUGUAUUUGCGGAUGCACUUGUGAUGCUUUGUGAUCUUGUUUGCACUUUAAUUACAUAUAUUGGUGUUGUUUGCAUUUUGUGAUGCACUUGUGGUGUUGUUUGCACUUUGUGAUGCACUUGUGGUGCUGUUUAGGGCCUGGGAAAAAAUAUAUAUNNNNNNAUUACUGUUUUUAUCUAUGUUUUGCAAAUGCAGGGAAUUAACAGAAAACAAAUAAAAAAAGCAGAGAGGGUCUUUGCCUACAGCUUACUAAUGACAAAGCCUAUGUCGUCGGUGGGCUGACGGCAAAGAAGGACACGUGGCGACAGCCUGUGUAACCUGGCAACUGUGAGAACACCAAAUUUUCCCAGAUUUUCGGCUUUGCCGUCAGCUGUGCUUCGCCUGUGGGCAAAGAGGGGACCGAGGUUUUCGGCUUUGCCGUCAGCUAUGCUCCGUCAGAACAUUGAAGUAGACAGUGAUAGUGAAUCCAUCUUAACCCCUGAGCCCGAACAAGAAGAGCUAGAAGAAGAAGAGGUUACUGCUGCGGAUGACCUGUCACUUCUUAACGGAUUACAUAAUGGUGGCCUUCCACAUGUUCUUCCUGAUAGUGAUGAUGAUGAUGCAUUUAUUGAUAAUAGUUAUGAUCAUGAUGCAUUUAUUGACCUCGAAGCAUAUAUGGACGAGCACGAUUGUUAUUAGUUCAUGUCAGGUAUUCAACUAUUACUAUAUAUAAAUUUUGAGUUCAUGUUAGGUAUUAAAUUUUAUUAGUCAUGUUGGUAUUUAUGACAAUGAUAAACUUAAAUUAUAUACAUUGUAUUACUCAUGUUGGUAUUUAUGUUGUACUAAUUUCAUUUACUCUUUGUCAUGACAGGUGUUGAAAGAUGGUGGGAAAGGGUCGAAAGCACUCCACGGCUCCUUCUUCGUCGACGGGUGGUGGGAUGGUACUUCCAUUCAUGCCUUGCCUCUUCGGAGAGCGUUGCUCUGUACUCUGCAUGGAGUAGCCGCUUCUUCGACACUCGCGGCCCCAUGAGAGGAGGUCGACCCCCCGCGAAGCCGAAAGGUACUAAAGGUAUUACUCAUGUUGGUAUUUAUGUUGUACUCAUGUUGGUAUUUAUGUUGUACUCAUGUUGGUAUUUAUAUACAUUUUAUUACUCAUGUGGGUAUUUAUGUUGUACUAAAGGUACACUCGGCCGCGGGAGAGGUAGGGCGGUGGCUGCCACGCCUUCCUCGCCGCCACCGCAAGCUGAUUCACCUGAGCACAUGACUUCUAGGGUGGAUUCGUCUAAGGUGGAGGCUACAUGGUCUCCGGUUCACGAGCCUCACGUUGACGAGCCUUCGACCCAUGAGACUCGUGUCCCAGAGGCUUCCUUCCAGGCGACUCCAGAGCAAAGCAGGGAUGAGGGUACGUCCCCAGAGACCCAGUGGGAUACCUGGGCUGAUCUGGGUCAGCCUGAGCCAAGUGUCCAUGCUAAUAGCGACGAGGAGGUGGGUGAGGGGGGCACCGUCUACCGGCGUGGUAGUUCGGGGCUCCCGCUUGUGCCGGCGACCCGCGAGCAGAGGUGGUCGAUUAAGCCAAAUGGGGACAAGUAAGUUAAUUUACUCUUAUUUAACCUUUUGCCUUCACAUUUUCUCAAAUAUCUAAUGUUUUGGCUUUAAUUUGUCAUACUGCAGGGGUUAGAUUGUUGCCAAGGGUGUCCGCAAGCCCAAAUCGUCCUUGGUGUGCUUUGUCGUCAAAACUUCUCGGGGUUUGCUACGUUGCCUGAUCGGGAGCGAGAGGUAGGAAUGACCUGGGAGCACUACUUGGGUGCCCCGACCCUGCCGGAGGUGGAGAUCGACGGUGUUUUGUGCCACACGAGGGCCGACAUGGUGAUCCGACAUUUCUGGGUAAUUUCUCAUUGACACAAUUAUAAAUCAACCAUAGCUAGUUAUUGUACUAAUCGGUGUUGUCUCGUUUGCAGACCUACUACAGGUGUGAGGAGGGAUACGAGGAGGACACGACAAAGGUUAUCAAAACCGAAUGUCGCCGCCUACUUCAAUAAUUUCGACACGAGGCUCGGGUGCACGCUAUUUGAGACUACUAUGCCUCGCGGCAUACUAGUAAGGACAAGGCGAAGUGCCACGAUUCUAAGAUGGAUAAGGAGCAUUACAUGAAGGUAAUUACAUAUUAUUAAGGCCUUGUAGUUAGUUUCCUUGAUUUGAUUCUUACGCGUUGCGCUCAAAUUUCUCUUUAUUAACUUAGGUGCCCCCCGAGAUGGUGUGUGGAUAAGAUGGAUUGUUGGGAGGCCUUGGUGGAUCAGUGGUGCUCCGAAACGUGGGAGGCCAGCCGCAACAACGCCAAGGAGAGGCGUGGCAAAAUGGUUGGUGUGCCACACCAUCAAGGGAGCGUCAACUUAAUCCAAUUUGGCGAGAACUGGGUAUGUGGUUUGCUUCAUAUCUCAUGUAAUUUAUUCUUAAUGCUAUCUUGAGCCCUUUACUAAUACAUUUUUCCUCUCUCUCUUUUAGGCGCGUCACAAUAAGACGGAGGUGCCACAGAUAUACGGCUUGUAUGUUAUGGCUCAUACUGCCUCGUACAAGAAGGUCAAGGCAUUCUCCGAGUCUGACCUCGAGCAUCCAGAAAACUUCACCAACAUCUCCUCCCAGCACAAGCUCGUGAAGUACAGAGAUCACGGGAUGGCGAGGAAAUGGGAUGACUUUAACCUGAGCGAGGGGCCUAUUUAUCGAGAGCUGGUGAUGAUAGCUGGCAACGAGAGGCCCCAUGGCUUGAUCGCCAUUGGAGAAGGACUUAUACGCUGUCCUAGCACUCUCCGGCAGAUAAAGGCACACCAAAAGAGCUCCUGUCCUGAGAUAACACCUCGUCCACGGCCAGUCGAGCUCACCAUCAAAGUUAGUUUAAUGGACUCAACUAUCUUUCCGCAUUAUGUUGUUUGUGGGAACCAAUAUGAUUACAAUGCUAACAAUGAGUUGUGUAGCAGGCUGCUAUUCUAAAAGAGAGGCAACGUAGGCGCAUUUUUGGCGCAGAAGGAUAAGGAGAUGAAGGAGCUAGAGGACAGGACGACUGCAUUGGUGGAGGCGGAGAGGGCACGGAACGAUGAGUCUAACAGGGCCAUGUACGAGCUCUUCGUGGUAAGUUUAUUCUUCAUAUUAUUUCAAAUAUUGCAUUUUAAUGUCCGUUUCAUUAAUAACUAAAAAGUUUGACUUGUCGAAACCCAAUGUACAGUCUAUGUGCGAGAAGACCGGCCACGUCCCUCCGGCGAUGCCAGUCAUUAACAUGACAGGGACGGUGAGUUUCAUUUCAAUGCAGUGAUCUCAAGAGUGUCAUUAUGCUAACAACACAUUGCGAACGAUGUUUGGUGUAGAAUAUCUCCCGAAACGCAUCGCACGAUCCUUCUACAAUGGAGCCUUCUCCAGGGCAGCCUUCUCCAGGUGAAGCAAGCCAGAGCCACCGUGCUUCACCGCCGUGAUGACGAUAAUGGUAUGUUAUUUCUAGUGUUUUUCUUAACAACAGCAUAAUGGUCCAAUAUGGUUUAUUAAGCAUACUUAGCUCCAAAAUGACAUAUCUAACCCAAGUUAGCUCCAAAAUGACAUAUCUAACCCAAGUUAGCUCCAAAAUGACAUAUAGUUAGCUUGGCUUCCACCUAAAUGAGAUAAUUAGCUUAGUUAGCUCCAAAAUUACCCAUUUAAUAAAAAAUGGCCUAUACUUACCUAAGUUCUCUUCUAAAUGACAUAAUAAGGCUAUGUAGCUCUAAAAUGACCUAUUCCACCUAACUUAGCUAUUAAAUAGCCUAUAAUUAGCUUAGGUAGCUCCAAAAUGCCUUAAUAAUCAUAGUUGGCUCCAAAAUGACAUAUUUUACCCAAGUUAGCUCUAGAAUGGCAUAUACUUAGCUUGGCUUCCACCUAAAUGACAUAAUUAACUUAGUUAGCUCCAAAAUGGUCUAUUUAAUCAAAAAUGACCUAUACUUAGCUAAUUAUCCUCUAAAAUCACAUAAUUAGCUCAAAAAGGCAUAAUUAGCUAAUUUAGCUCGAAGAAGAGGACAAGAGUAGAAGAAAGAGGAAAAAUGAAAAGAAGGAAGAAGAAGAAGAGAAGAAAAAUAGAAGAAGAAGGAGAAGGAGAAUGAGGAGAAGAAGGAGAAGGAGCGCUCCUUCUUCUCUCCUCCUUCUUCUCCUUCUUCUUCUCCUUCUUCUUCUUUUCUUCUUCUUCUGCUCUUCCUUCUCCUCCUCCUCCUCCCCUUCUUCUUCUUUUUCUUCUCCUUCUUCUUCUCUUCUUGCUUCUUCUCUUUCUUCUUCUACGUAGCUUAUUUUCCCCAACAAAGUCAUACUUAGCUAAUUAUCCUCCAAAAUGACAUAAUUAGAUUAGUUAGGUAAAAACAUCAUAAGAACCUUGGUUAGCUCAUUAAAAUGACUAAUUUAGCUCCAAAAUGACAUAAUACGCUCAAAAUGGCAUAAGAACCUUGGUUAGCUCAUUAAAAUGACUAAUUUAGCUCCAAAAUGACAUAAUACGCUCAAAAUGGCAUAAGAACCUUGGUUAGCUCAUUAAAAUGACUAAUUUAGCUCCAAAAUGACAUAAUACGCUCAAAAUGGCAUAAGAACCUUGGUUAGCUCAUUAAAAUGACUAAUUUAGCUCCAAAAUGACAUAAUACGCUCAAAAUGGCAUAAGAACCUUGGUUAGCUCAUUAAAAUGACUAAUUUAGCUCCAAAAUGACAUAAUACGCUCAAAAUGGCAUAAGAACCUUGGUUAGCUGAUGAAUAUUAUAUACUUAGCUUGUUUUCCUCUAAAAUGACAUAAUUAGCCCAUUUAGCUCCAAAAAGACAUACUUAGCUAAUAAUGAGCUAUUAAAUAGCCUAUAAUUAGCUUAGCUAGCUCCAAAAUGCCUAAAUAAUCAUAGUUGGCUCCAAAAUGACAUAUUUUACCCAAGUUAGCUCUAGAGUGGCCCAUACUUAGCUAAGUUCUGUCCUAAAUAACAUAAUAAGGCUAUGUAGCUCCAAGAUGACCUAUUCCACCUAACUUAGCUAUUAAAUGGCCUAUAAUUAGCUUAGGUAGCUCCAAAAUGGCUUAAUAAGCAUAGUUGGCUCCAAAAUGACAUAUUUUUCCCUAAGUAGCUCCAAAAUGACAUAUACUUAGCUAAGUUCUCUCCUAAAUGACAUAAUAAGGCUAUGUAGCUCCAAGAUGACUUAUUCCCUCGAAAAUGAAAAGAAGGAAGAAGAAGAAGAGAAGAAGAAGAGAAGAAGAAGGAGAAGGAGAAGGAGGAGAAGAAGGAGAAGGAGCCCUCCUUCUUCUUCUCUCCUCCUCCUUCUUUUCUACUUCUUCUCCUCUUCCUUCUCCUCCUCCUCCUCCUCCUCCUUCUUCUUUUUCUUCUCCUUCUUCUUCUCUUCUUGCUUCUUCUCUUUCUUCUUCUACGUAGCUUAUUUUCCCCAACAAAGACUUACUUAGCUAAUUAUCCUUGGAAAUGAUAUAAUUACCUUAGUUAGGUAAAACAUCAUAAGAACCUUGGUUAGCACACUUAGCUAAUUAUCCUCCAAAAUGACAUAAUUAGCUUAGUUAGGGAAAACAUCGUAAGAACCUUGGUGAGCUCAUUAAAACGAGUAAUUUAGAUCCAAAAUGACAUAAUAUGCUCAAAAUGGCAUAAGAACCUUGGUUAGCUCAUGAAUAUAAUAUACUUAGCUUGUUUUCCUCUAAAAUGACAUAACUAGCCCAUUUAGCUCCAAAAAGACAUACUUAGCUAAUAAUCAGCUAUUAAAUAGCCUAUAAGUAGCUUAGCUAGCUCCAAAAUGCAUUCAUAAUUAUAGUUAGCUCCAAAAUGACAUAUUUUACCCAAGUUAGCUCUAGAAUGGCCUAUACUUAGCUUGGCUUCCACCUAAAUGACAUAAUUAGCUUAGUUAGCUCCAAAACGGUCUAUUUAAUAAAAAAUUACCUAUAGUUAGCUAAUUAUCCUCCAAAAUGACAUAAUUAGCUCCAAAAAGGCAUAAUUAGCUAAUUUAGCUCGAAGAAGAGGACAAGAGGAGAAGAAAGAGGAAAAAUGAAAAGAAGUAAGAAGAAGAAGAAGAAGAAAAAAGAAGGAGAAGAAGAAGGAGAAGAAGGAGGAGAGGCUCCUCCUUCUUCUCCUUCUUCUUCUCUUCUUCUUCUCCUCUUCCUCCUCCUUCUCCUUCUCCUCCUCCUCCUCCUUCUUCUUUUUCUUGUCCUUCUUCUUCUCUUCUUGCUUCUUCUCUUUCUUCUAAAAAAUGACCUAUUUAGCUCCAAAAUGGCCUAUUUAAUAAAAAAAUGACCUAUACUUACCUAAGUUCUCUUCUAAAUGACAUAAUAAGGCUAAGUAGCUCCAAGAUAACCUAUUACACCUAACUUAGCUAUUAAAUGGCCUAUAAUUAGCUUAGCUAGCUCCAAAAUGGCUUAAUAAUCAUAGUUGGCUCCAAAAUGAUAUAUUUUACCCAAGUUAGCUCUAGAAUGGCCUAUACUUAGCUUGGCUUCCACCUAAAUGACAUAAUUAGCUUAGUUAGCUCCAAAAUGGCCUAUUUAAUAAAAAAUUACCUAUACUUACCUAAGUUCUCUUCUAAAUGACCUAAUAAGGCUAUGUAGCUCCAAGAUGACCUAUUCCACCUAACUUAGCUAUUAAAUGGACUAUAAUUAGCUUAGCUAGCUCCAAAAUGGCUUAAUAAUCAUAGUUGGCUCCAAAAUGACAUAUUUUAUCCAAGUUAGCUCUAGAGUGGCCCAUACUUAGCUAAGUUCUGUCCUAAAUAACAUAAUAAGGCUAUGUAGCUCCAAGAUGACCUAUUCCACCUAACUUAGCUAUUAAAUGGCCUAUAAUUAGCUUAGGUAGCUCCAAAAUGGCUUAAUAAGCAUAGUUGGCUCCAAAAUGACAUAUUUUUCCCUAAGUAGCUCCAAAAUGACAUAUACUUAGCUAAGUUCUCUCCUAAAUGACAUAAUAAGGCUAUGUAGCUCCAAGAUGACUUAUUCCCUCUAACUUAGCUAUUAAAUGGCCUAUACUUAGCUAAGUUCUCUCCGAAAUGACCUAUACUUCCCUUCUUCAUCAAUCUUCUUCUUCUAACUUUCUUAUUUGCCAUUUUGCAGAUUACAUUCACUUCACGGGAAGCUUGGAUUAUAUUGAUGGAGUGCCCGAAUAUGGUUGAUUCUACCAUGAUUUCACGGAAGCUUGGACUGAAACUAUUGUAGUAUAUGGAUAUAUAUGAAACUUUGUAUGCAUGGAUGAAACUAGUGUAAUAUAUGGUUUGGUAUGGAUGCAACUUACACAAUAUGUCUGUAUUAUGGAGGAAAGUUAUUUUAAUAUGGUUAUGAGUAUGGAAACAAAAUUAUUUCUGUCAAAUAUAUAUAUAUAUANNNNNNNNNNNNNNNNNNNNNNNNNNNNNNNNNNNNNNNNNNNNNNNNNNNNNNNNNNNNNNNNNNNNNNNNNNNNNNNNNNNNNNNNNNNNNNNNNNNNAUAUAUAUCCUGAUUAUUCCUGAUUUGUGUGAAAAUUGCUGGAUAUUAUAGAAAAUAAAAUAAACACGGGCUGUUUUGAGCCUUUGUCGUCCGCCCACCGACGGCAAAGGGCUUGCAGCAGACGACAAAGGCUCAAACAUGCNNNNNNNNNNNNNNNNNNNNNNNNNNNNNNNNNNNNNNNNNNNNGCCGUCGGCCUCAAACAUGGCUGACGACAAAGGGGGGAGGGCAGACGACAAAGGUGGAGGGAGAGAGGGGCUCGGUGCCCCCCUUUGCCAUGAGCCUCAAAUAUGGCUGGCAGCAAAGGGGGGAGGGUGGACGACAAAGGAGGNNNNNNNNNNNNNNNNNNNNNNNNNNNNNNNNNNNNNNNNNNNNNGGGUAGGGCAGACGACAAAGGGGGCGGGGGGGUGUGGGCCCAGCAGGCUGCCGUUAGCACUUAACGGGAGCGCUUGCGGAUCCGCCGUCCCAUUUUGUUUGCUGUCAGCCCCCAUGGCAAAGAUUCUUUCCCGUCCUCCUUCCAAAGGCAGACAGCAAAGAACCUCUUCACCGGAUAAAUCUUUGCCGUCUAGUUUGCCGUCCGCUGACGGACGACAAAGGCUUUGUCGUCCGGGGUGCCCCCCUUUACCGUCUGCCAUGGCGGACGACAAAAUUUCUGAUCCUUGUAGUGGUAGGUAGACAUCUUGCCAAAUUUCGUUGCAUUCCGAGGUUGUUUGGUACCCGGACCAUUAAACAUAUAGCGACACCAUAGCCGGUUUAAUUUGGGGACCUUUUUGGCUUAUAAAGGUGUGUCACGGGCCUUCUACUUCCCCAUCUUCUAAAUUCAAUGCCAUCUACAUAGCCCACUAACCCACCUAACCCCCUCGCUCCCGGACCACCUGAUCGAGAUCUGAUGGUCCGAGAACGUACUAAAUCCCUAACCCUAGUAUCCCUGCCUAUAUAUAUAUAUAUAUGGCCAUAUCCUGCUUAAUAAGGAAAAUCCUAGCCAUGCCUUGAAAACCGCACCACCGCCAGCCUCUCCCAAUCCUCGAGCCCAUACCUGGCCAAACGGGCUGGCCCGGCCUAGCCAAGCAUGAAUAUUAGUCGGGUCGUGCCGUGCCGGCUCAUGUGCGCAGCAUCUCGGCCCAGGCACGACAUGGGAGCUAAAUGGGCCGGCCCGUCUGCACGCUGAGCACGAUUUUAGGCCUCUUUUAGGUAGUUUUUGGGCUGAUUUUGGCCUAUUGGGCUAUUUUAUACGUUGUAUAUGUAAAAAUAUGUAAAUAAAAAAUAAAAAAUGUAAACGGGCCGUGCUAUGCCGGCCCGCGUGCCCAGCCUUCAGGCCGAGGCACGGCCCGUGGCGGGCUGCGUGCUUGGCACGGGCCCAUUAAAGUCAUGUCGUGCUCGACCCAUGGCGUGCCGUGCUGGCGGGCUCACAGGCGGGCCUGUUUAGCCCGGCCCAUUUGGCCAACUAUACUCCAGCCUAGAUCUGGCCAAAUGGGUCGUGUAAACCGGGCCGGCCCGACAGCCCGUGUGCCUGGCACGACACGGGCCCGGCCCGACACGGGCUAAUCGUGCUCGGGCCCGGCACGAAGCAUGCCUUGGGCCGUGCCUCGGCUUGGAGGCUGGGCAUGCGGGUCGGCACGACACAUAACAUAUGGCCCAAUAGGCUCAAAAAAUAAGCCCAUGAGGCUAAAAAUAUGCGGCCCAACGUGCUUAUCGGGGCAACAUGCUCGCCCGUUUAAUAACCGGGCCGUGCGUGAGCCUGGAGGCGCAGCCCAUGGGCCGGUACGACACGACCCGACUAAUUAACGUGCCUGGGUGGGUCGUGUCGUACGAGGCCCGAUUACAACGGGCCUUGCCGGGCCGUUUGCCCAGGUCUGCUCCAGCCGCCACUCACCUCCCUCCAUCCCACCUCCCAUGCGAGCCCGCCAAAACCCAUAUCCAGCCCGCCCGGGCCUGGAUCACGCCGCUGUUUGUAUAGCCUGGCUGAGCUCCUCCUCUCGAUUGGAUCGAGAGGGGCUCCUCCCUUCCUUCCUCGCGACCCCAUGCCUUUGGCGAUCCUCGAUAAGCCACCGUGAGCGACCAGGACUAGGUCCCGCCAUCCCUUGCCUCCUUUCCUUCCUCGGUUCCUCCCUCUUGAUCUCUCAUCUCUGACCUUGCGUGUUUCUUCCGAGGAUCAACUGGCCAUGGCCAUGGAGUUCCAAGUUCCGCCGUCAAAGCUCGCCCUCGACCUGAUCCAGUUGUCAGCGGCUGGAUCCGCUGCCCCCCAUCGUAUCACGAUCGUUUUCAUGACGUCGGAGUGUGCCAGGGCCGACAGAGUCCGUGCACCUGCAACCGCUGCCUCGUCUUUGUCCUGUGCGAGGAGACGUAUGCCAUGACACCCGCUCGAUCUGUUCCGCCACGUUGACCGAAACCAGCACCCACCCGUUCGCUCGUACAUCGUUUGGGCCGAAGCCCAUGGUGAGCACAACCACAUCCCAUCCUCGUGCUGCUAUCGGUCACACUAGGUGUAGCUUAGCUAUCAUGCACUCACUCUAUUUCAGAUUCAGGCCAUCUUAUAUUUUUCCAGCUUGGCUAAUUUAUUCAUUUUCCAGGCAUUGCAGUUUUACAAUUUGGACCCCGAACUUCAUGUAUAUAA